AGGAUUUGAGUAUAGGAGCAGGGAGGUUCUACUGCAGUUGUACAGAGCGCUAGUGAGGCCACGCCUGGAGUAUUGUGUGUAGUUUUGGUCCCCUAAUUUGAGGAAGGACAUUCUUUCUAUUGAGGGAGUGCAGCGUAGGUUUACAAGGUUAAUU